AUUUUUUGUUAUGAUAAAUGUAUUUUGAAUUAUUUGGUUUAUUAUGUUUCUUUUAUUUUUGACGUUUAUUCUUCUUUGUAAAUUGCCUUUUUCUUCUUGAUGGUAUUUUUAACAAAGGUGGAAAACAAUCAACUGUGUUUUUAACUUUACAAAGAAAAAGAACAAAAUUUCGCAAAUUAUUUUACUUAAUAUAAUUUUUAUACAAUAUGGUAUAUUUUUGUAUUCUUGUAUUUUUCCCCUAAUGCGCUUUGUCUAAAUAGAUAUAGGAAGAUGUGGUAUGAGUGCCAAUGAGACAACUCUUCAUUCAAUUAACAAUUUAUAAAAGUAAACCAUUAUAGGUCAAGGUACGGCCUUCAUCGCGGAUCUUGGCACACACCGAACAGCAAGCUAUAAAGGUCCCAAAAAAUAGUAGUGUAAAACCAUUCAAAUUC
rnacentral:lncRNA from 1 species